rnacentral:rRNA from 1 species
GGGGAAUAUUGCACAAUGGGGGAAACCCUGAUGCAGCGACGCCGCGUGAGUGAAGAAGUAAUUCGGUAUGUAAAGCUCUAUCAGCAGGGAAGAAAAUGACGGUACCUGACUAAGAAGCCCCGGCUAACUAC